rnacentral:tRNA from 1 species
ACCUGGGUGGCUCAGUUGGUUAAGCAUCUGACUUCGGCUCAGGUCAUGAUCUCAUAGUUUGUGGGUUCGAGCCCCACGUCAGGCG